CAGCCGCCGCGGUAAUACCGGCGGCCCGAGUGGCGGUCACUAUUAUUGGGCUUAAAGCGUCCGUAGCCGGGUUGGGAAGUCCUCCGGGAAAUCUGGCCGCUUAACGGUCAGAAUGCCGGAGGAUACUCCCAGCCUAGGGAGCGGGAGAGGCCGAGGGGAUUCCCGGAGUAGGGGGGAAAUCCUAUAAUCCCGGGCGGACCACCUGUGGCGAAGGCGCUCGGCUGGAACGCGUCCGACGGUGAGGGACGAAGGCCAGGGGAGCAAACCGGAUUAGAUACCCGGGUAGUCCUGGCUGUAAACGAUGCGGACUUUGUGUCGGACAAGCUAUGAGCUUGUCCGGUGCCGGAGGGAAACCGUUAAGUCCGCCGCCUGGGGAGUACGGCCGCAAGGCUGAAACUUAAGGAAUUGGCGGG
rnacentral:rRNA from 1 species